rnacentral:misc_RNA from 1 species
UCCCUGUUACCAGGGCGGUCUCCUGUGAAAAAUUUAACACAGGACGAGGGUUUCGUUCGUUCAAGGACUUAACCUCACAGCUCACGCCACGAACUGACGACGACCGUGCAGUACCUGUCUUAGAGUUCCGGCGCGAAACGCGCCACGCGUAAUAUUUGUCGUGCGCCUUGCGCCGGCACUCCCCAGUUUCUUGGGAAUUCUCUAGCUGUCAAGCCCUGGUAAGGUCUCUCGGUUACUAUCGAAUUAAACCACAUGCUCCACCACUUGUGCGAACCCCCGCCAAUUCCUUUGAGUUUUAAUCUUGCGAUCGUACUUCCCAGGCGGUCAACUUAACGCGUUAGCUUCGCAGCGGAAAGGGUCGACUCUUCCCAUUGCUAGUUGACAUCGUUUAGGGCGUGGA